rnacentral:rRNA from 1 species
GGUUGAUCCUGCCAGUAGCAUACGCUUGUCUCAAAGAUUAAGCCAUGCAUGUCUAAGUAUAAACAACUUUAUACUGUGAAACUGCGAAUGGCUCAUUAUAUCAGUUAUAGUUUCUUUGAUGGUGACACUACUUGGAUAACCGUAGUAAUUCUAGAGCUAAUACAUGCAGCAAUCCCUGACUUCGGAAAGGGUGUACUUAUUAGAUGGAAACCAAUGAGGGGCAACCCUGUGUAUGGUGAUUCAUAAUAAUUUUCGGAUCGAUCUAUGAUCGAUGCAUCAUUCAAGUUUCUGC